rnacentral:tRNA from 1 species
CUGAGUGUAGCUCAGUGGUAGCGCACUUGCCUCAUAUGCACGAGGUCCUGGGUUCGGUCUCUAGCACUAUAGG